rnacentral:sRNA from 1 species
GCUGGGUAUGGUGGUGCACACCUGUAUUUCCAGCUGCUUGGGAGGCUGAGGCAGGAGAAUCACAAGUUCAAAGCCAGCCUCAC